AGCUGAGAACUGACGGAAGGAUUUAGGGAGACCAGAGGCUUAUGAGAUGUAUCAAGACUCUUUAAAGCCUCAUUUUGUCUUUCUUGAACAUGUGGAAAACAAACCAGGCUGCAGCACUCCCUCCCUGUCGGGAGAAGAAAGCGGCAGCACCAAAUCUGUUGUUGGCAUUUCCCUCCAGCAGCACUUCCAUCCCUCCCACCGAGGGCAGUUGGGGUGAGCCGUGGCCCUGCCUGGGGGGACUCAUCCCAGGGGACGUGGGUGUCCCACAGCUGGGCCUCUGCUUUGUUCCCUGCAGCCCCACCCACCCCCUCAGCCAAGAAUGACAUCUUUCACCGACUGCUAAAGCCUCCUGCUCCUGCUUUAAUGUUCAUUUUGGGAGUUUUCAACUGGAUCCUGGCUACCUCAUCCAGGAAUCUGCGUGGCAGCCCCGAGGUCCAGCCCCAUCUGGGUGACAGAGUUUGUUUCCUUUGGCAAUGUGAAUUUAACAACCAGGCUUCCAGCCCUGGGAAUCAUUUCCCUCAAAUAGCUGCAAAAUAAAUGAUGGGACAUUUUCCAGUGCAGUGCUGCAACCACCCAAAACACCACUGUAAAAUUCACAGAGGCCAGGCAGAGUGAGUGCAUUAAGCAAGGCUUAGGGGGAUUAUGGAAUUAAAUUGGGAGUCCCUUCCACCCUUCCCCCAGUCAAAGACAUUCGAAAAUAAAUAUUAAAAAAGGGUGUUAAAACAAUGGCUUUGGCUAAAACCUCUGCAAGCAAAGAACCUCGUGGAGGCUGUUGCUGGGCUGUGGACUGGUGUGUUCAGGCUGUGUUCCAGAGGGUUUCCAUCAGGGAUAAUCUCAGGAACACCCAACAGCCGUGGCUCUGCUUCCCAAAUUCCCUCUGCAGAGCAGAAGUGCAGCAGCCCCUGUACAGCACAGGACCUUGCCUCCUCUCCCCUGCAUCCUGCUGCUGCCUUUGGCAUUCCUUAUCCUCUGCCUGCAAUUCCCAGCUCUGUCCUUUUCCCGGCAGCAGGAGCAUCCUGCUCCUUUCAGGGAGAGUUUGUGCAAUGAAAGCUUUGCUUUAAUCUGGGCUGGAUUUAGCCAGAUGCUGCAAUCCUGGGAAGGCUUACACAGGGCUCAGGUCUGCCAUGGGAAUGUGGCCUUGAUUUGAUAAUCUGGGAAUGGUUUAUUUAAAAUUAAAAACAUAGAAAAACCUUUAAAACAGAUUUUUUUUAGCUCCUUUUGGCCUUGCAGUAGAAAAGGCACCCAGGCUCUUGGUCACAUAUAGGGUCUGGCACCCAUGAAAUAGGUUUUAGGCUAAUGAGGCACACUCUGCCUGCUUUAAUUAAAUGAAUUAGAGUAAAAAAAAAAAAAAGCAUUUCCCAUAAGAAGUCUUUAGCAUCAUAAUAACACAAUUUAAAUAUUUAAUAUAAAAAUACAUAAAAUUAAAUAUUAAUUUCCAAUACACUUACAGAGCCUAUUUGACCCAAUUGACCCCACAGAUAUUCCCUUACCAAGGAAUCCCUUUUCUUUACAUCUUUAUUAACAUAAUUACAGACCUUUACAUUUAAAAUCUUUAUUUUAGUGCAGUUCUCUUGGUAAUAAAAUAAAUCCAUGAGACACCUGUGCAGCAAGAAAUAGGAUUUACAGAGAUUUUUAAGCUUCUGGGGGCAAACAUGGUUUAUUCUUGCCGUGUCAGGGCCUGGGGUAGAUGAGCACAAUGACACCAGAGGCAGCUGAGUGUAUUAAUUAGCACUAAUUAAUAAAGCUACCGGGUUAUCUUUGACCUUCUCACAGCUCACUGCACAGGCUGAAGAGGAAGGAUAAGGAAUGAGCAGAGGAAAAUCCUUUUGGUCAGAAUUUUUCCAUGCCUGCCUCUCCUCUCUGACUCCCCCAGGUCCUGUGUCCCCCCUGUGCCUUAGCAGGGAGUGGUGACACCUCAUCCUGCAGUCUGCACUUCCAGGGAAUCCUGCAGCCCUGGGAAGGGGCUGGGGAUGCUGACUGCUUGUGACAAGCCUUGCCUGGGAGAAAACCAGCACGGCAGCGGUUGGAAACCUGAAUGAUGUCACUAUGGCAACAAAAUAACUCACCUUAAAAUAAAAUGUGCAUUGGAAGCAACCUCAUGUGCUCAAGGAAUACAGAGAGGAAGCUCCUGUUUUUUAAAUGUAUAUAUUUUUAUGUUUAUGCAUUUUUUAAUAUUUUUUCAGCUUUCUGAAUUCUUGCCCUGUUACCAGAUGCUGAUACAAAUAUGAGAAAUAUUUUAAUUUCUCUCACAAUGAAAUUAAAAAGAACAUGGCCAGACUUCCAGAAGAAGGAAAAAUGUGUUUGCUGGAGGGCAGGAAAACUCUGGAGCAGCUGAUAACUACAAGUCUUUCUGAUAGAUGUGAGAUCCAGGCUAUCAAUAUCUGCAGCUCACAGCAGAAACCAGAAAAAGUGGAUUAAAAGGGAUGAGGUUGUGGAGCAUGAAAAAAUACUCCACAACAACUGUGGAGGAGGGAAGAGGAGGUUCUGCUCUGGCCCUGGAGCUGGCACACCAUGGAACCAUGACUUGGGGAAGCACUUGUGGUCAGCACCUCCGUGCUGGUGCAUUUGUAUGAAGGAAGAAACCAAACCAAACCAACUUCCAGCCCUCUGGAAAGCUGAGGCUCAGCCUGAGGCUUAGGGACAGCCCUCCUCCAGCGGCCCCGGAUCCCAGACACAGCAAAGCUCCUUUGUGGUCCCACAGAGCAGCCCCCGGGCCGGGCUGAAACCCGAGAGCUGCCGCCAUCCAAACCUUCUGCACAGCUCCUUUUAUCUGCCUGGGGGGAAAACAAACAGCGCAGGAGCCGGAGCUUUGUGCCCGGGAUGUCGCACAUCUGGUCUGAGCUCCAAGAAACGCGCUUCCACCCCCUCCCCGAAUUGUUCAUGUUAAACAAACAAAACCCUGGCGAUUUUGUGAGAUUUUUUUGGCUCUGGGAUAACUUUGGAGCAGCUUUGACUGCGAAUUCCAGGCUUGUGCUGCACUUCAUCCCCAGUGGAAGCAGCACACCUCGCUGGCCGGGAGGGAGGCACUUCCAAAGUGCCCUGAACUCCCUCGCUGGGAAUGCUGCCGAGAGUGGGACCGCUCUGUUUAGGUUUCAAUCCAGCACUUUUCCCUCUGUUAUUUAUGCUUCGUCCCCUCCCCCCCCCCCCUUUUAAGAACGUCUGGAAUUGUUUAAGAUGUGUCCAAUUGUAUUAAGUUGCCUUUGAGAGCUUUGUGG